rnacentral:rRNA from 1 species
UACGUAGGUGGCGAGCGUUGUCCGGAUUUACUGGGCGUAAAGGGAGCGUAGGCGGACUUUUAAGUGAGAUGUGAAAUACCCGGGCUCAACUUGGGUGCUGCAUUUCAAACUGGAAGUCUAGAGUGCAGGAGAGGAGAAUGGAAUUCCUAGUGUAGCGGUGAAAUGCGUAGAGAUUAGGAAGAACACCAGUGGCGAAGGCGAUUCUCUGGACUGUAACUGACGCUGAGGCUCGAAAGCGUGGGGAGCGAACAGG